rnacentral:rRNA from 1 species
UCACCGGGUGUGGAGCCUGCGGCUUAAUUUGACUCAACACGGGGAAACUUACCAGGUCCGGACAUAGUGAGGAUUGACAGAUUGAGAGCUCUUUCUUGAUUCUAUGGUUGGUGGUGCAUGGCCGUUCUUAGUUGGUGGAGUGAUCUGUCUGGUUAAUUCCGUUAACGAGCGAGACCUGGGCGUGCUAGCUAGGCGCCAGUACCGCUUUUUGGUACUGAGGCUUGCCUUCCUAGACGGACUGUGGGCGUCUAGUCCACGGAAGCUCCAGGCAAUAACAGGUCUGAGAUGCCCUUAGAUGUUCUGGGCCGCACGCGUGCUACACUGAGCGGGUCAACGGGUGAGGAUGUGCGAGAGCGCUUCCCAAUCUCUAAAUCCGCUCGUGCUGGGGAUCGAGGCUUGCAAUUUUCCCUCUUGAACGAGGAAUACCUUGUAAGCGUGGGUCAUCAUCCCGCGCUGAAUACGUCCCUGCCCUUUGUACA